UGGAAAUGCGGGGAUUCGAACCCCGGGCCUUCCACAUGCGAAGCGAACGCUCUACCUCUGAGUCCACAUGCGC